AGCUAAUACCGCAUAACGUCGCAAGACCAAAGAGGGGGACCUUCGGGCCUCUUGCCAUCGGAUGUGCCCAGAUGGGAUUAGCUAGUAGGUGGGGUAACGGCUCACCUAGGCGACGAUCCCUAGCUGGUCUGAGAGGAUGACCAGCCACACUGGAACUGAGACACGGUCCAGACUCCUACGGGAGGCAGCAGUGGGGAAUAUUGCACAAUGGGCGCAAGCCUGAUGCAGCCAUGCCGCGUGUAUGAAGAAGGCCUUCGGGUUGUAAAGUACUUUCAGCGGGGAGGAAGGGAGUAAAGUUAAUACCUUUGCUCAUUGACGUUACCCGCAGAAGAAGCACCGGCUAACUCCGUGCCAGCAGCCGCGGUAAUACGGAGGGUGCAAGCGUUAAUCGGAAUUACUGGGCGUAAAGCGCACGCAGGCGGUUUGUUAAGUCAGAUGUGAAAUCCCCGGGCUCAACCUGGGAACUGCAUCUGAUACUGGCAAGCUUGAGUCUCGUAGAGGGGGGUAGAAUUCCAGGUGUAGCGGUGAAAUGCGUAGAGAUCUGGAGGAAUACCGGUGGCGAAGGCGGCCCCCUGGACGAAGACUGACGCUCAGGUGCGAAAGCGUGGGGAGCAAACAGGAUUAGAUACCCUGGUAGUCCACGCCGUAAACGAUGUCGACUUGGAGGUUGUGCCCUUGAGGCGUGGCUUCCGGAGCUAACGCGUUAAGUCGACCGCCUGGGGAGUACGGCCGCAAGGUUAAAACUCAAAUGAAUUGACGGGGGCCCGCACAAGCGGUGGAGCAUGUGGUUUAAUUCGAUGCAACGCGAAGAACCUUACCUGGUCUUGACAUCCACGGAAGUUUUCAGAGAUGAGAAUGUGCCUUCGGGAACCGUGAGACAGGUGCUGCAUGGCUGUCGUCAGCUCGUGUUGUGAAAUGUUGGGUUAAGUCCCGCAACGAGCGCAACCCUUAUCCUUUGUUGCCAGCGGUCCGGCCGGGAACUCAAAGGAGACUGCCAGUGAUAAACUGGAGGAAGGUGGGGAUGACGUC
rnacentral:rRNA from 1 species